GGAAAGACCGGGUGGGGAAAGUUAAGGAGGGGCCCGGGCUCAGCAACCCGCGCCCAGACUGCCUUCUGGCAUUCUGCGUCGUUGGAGAAGGGCCCUCUUAUCUCGCCGUGGAACUCCUGGCAGGGCGGGGGGCGGAGUCCCGGCCUCGUCCUCCCUGCUAGCGACUCCUCCAAGGAGGGAGUACUUGCUGCAUGUGAUCCUCUACAACUCGUGUUGCUCCCGUUAUGCAGACGGAAGACAGUCCCAGGGAACAAACGCUAGGAAAUGGCAGGGUGUGGAAACUGAGGCAUGGAGAGGUUACAAUAUACCCUAGAUCUCCCAACUGGCAAGUAAUGGUUGAAGUCAGGAGCCUACACACUUCCUCCUACUUCCUCCGUGGGUGCUGGUGAUCUGCCGACUCCUAGACAUCCAGCUUUAAGGUCCUCAGUGAAGCUUCUCUGCCCCCAGGCCUGUCAAUGUGAGAGCACCAUGGGUGUCCCUUUGAAAGCAUCUCCUACAGAGGUCAGUGAUUAUGCGGUCUAUGUGUAAACCAAAGGGUCCCAAGGGUUUUGGCCUUCCAACUAGUUUUGUGCGUGCGUGACUAUGACAGCACUGCGCACCUCACCUGCAUGCUGGGAAUAGUGAUGUGCCCCUGUUCUGCCCCAAGUGCCUGCCUCAGGCAUUGUGGGUCCCUCUGGCCAACUUAGUACUUAAUUCUCCUGCCCUGGCUGCUCCCUAGAAGCCCUGGCUCUGAUUGCUGGGCCCACACUGCCACCUAGCGGUGCCACCUCUCAUGCCCUCACUAGCCAAAUCUCCAUGGAUUCCUCCCUUCUAGGAUACCUUCCCCUGCACUCCAGGGAUUGACCUUACUGCAAGAUUCCCCUGCCCCUCCCUACCCAGAACAAUCACAAGAUGAGUCACAAGAAUACACAGCAGUGCCUUCCCCAAAGUCUCCCUCAUUUGUCCUCUAUCCUUUCAUCAUGUGCAGCCUCCCCUCUCCAGGAAGGACAUAAUGUGUGUGUGUGUGUGUGUGUGUGUGUGUGUGUGUGUGUAGGAUUUAGCCACCUUCACUUUAAGCUAUUCCAAAGUCUCUGUCCCCUUGGACACACAGCUAUAUGAAGGGCUAUGUGGCAGAGCCUGCCACCAUGAACCCACUCCUGACCAGGCCUAGCCAUCCCACAUGCCAAAUCCUCCCAUCAUAGUGGAGGGGAUGUGGCAGGUGGUUGCUGGAACAUGAGCACUAAGGGAAAACCACAUAUUCUGACUUUCCUGGGCUAAGUGAGUAGUUGCAAGUCAUCUCUCUGAUGGACCCAUGUGGGGAAUGCGUGUGCCUAUGGAAGCGUGGACACUGGUUAUAGGGACUGGGAGGGGAGAAGCAGCACCUUUGCUUACUUUUCAUACUUCUGUAUAAUUUGAAUUAAUGACAAUGAGCAAGUUUUACUUAUGCAAUUUAAAAUUUUAAUAAAAAGAGACAAGCUUAAAAAUACAAUUAUAAAAUUUUUAGAGCAAUUAUACUCUAACUCCAUUUUAAAGAAACGAGACAUCUUCACAUAACAUUCAGUGAGAUGCCUUUGGCUGAGGCAAGGAGCCAGCCUCCACCCUCAGCUGCCUAGCCUUCUACUCAUCCAGAAUGACAUCUUGCUCAGCCUUAGGUUCACCAGGCUCAAACUAGUUGCCUUUACAGAGCAGAGCCUUCUUCGGUGCCCCCAGCAGUAGAAGCUUCCAGAUCAUAGGGCUUUCUAAGAGGCUCUGAGAUCUUGAAUCAGAUUCUUAGGUUGGGCUCAGGGACAUCAGUCCUGGGUCCAGCUGGGCAUAAAUUCGUGUGUGUGUACACAUGUGCAUGUGUAUCUGUGUGCAUGUGUGUUAUAUGAAUGUGUAUUUACACAUGUAUAUUAUAUGCAUGUGUAUGCACAUGUGUAAAGGUGUGACUGCAUAUGUACAUGUGUGAGAGUAUGUUUGUACAUGUGGCUGUGCGAGGAGCCAGAAAGGACUAGGAGAGGAGGCCAUGGUUUGAGGAUAAGAGCCUAGCCCUGAGGUUGUGCUUUGGAGUUGGAAUGGGGGCUCUGUCAUGACAGCUGCUGACCUCAGACAGGUCACCUAACCUCUCUGGGCUUUUCUGUCCUGUGUGUCUGUAGUGUGGGGCGGGAGGGAUAGUGUGACCUCCUCCAGUCUCUGUAAGGUCAGGGGGUUCCAGGGAGAGCACCUACCCAGCAUCUGGUCUACAAGAAGUGUUCACUAUGGCCAGCUGAGGCUAUUGUCUGGAGCCUCCUGCUUCACUGAAUACUGCUAGCCUGAAGGUCGCCUGAAAGAAAUAGGGGCAGAGCCCCCAAACCCGUCUCCACUCAACAUCUGCACACAGUGGGUACCCACGAAUAAGUUGUAGCAUCCUUUCAGUCACUCAUUCACUCAUUCAUUCACAGGACGAGCAUCUUUCCAAGAGCUACUUCUCUGAUGAGGCUGGACAUGCAGCCCAGGGGUCCGUGAGUGUGUGUGUGUUAACCAGUGGGGCUGAGGGGUAGACGCUCACUAGGCCUAAAUUCCGACGCCAGGAGUAGGAUGGCUGGGAGAUGCCUCUGAGUGGGACGGAGGUCCUGGUACCUGCAGUCCUGUAGAUGGCCUGUAGAUGACAGCAGAGGCCCACGCAGAGCCCCUGCCCCGAGCCGCAACCUUCCCAGUCCCAAGUGAACCAGCUCGCUCAGGUCCCUCAGCUUCCGGAUUGGGGGAGUGAUGUGCUGUGCGCGAGUAGCUCAGAUCUGUCCCAGGAGACAGCCACAGCCACCCUCCCUAUGGCUCUAGACAAGUUGUUUUCUCCCCAGGGGCCCCAGUUUCCUCAUCUGUGAAAUGAGAGCUGUUUAACAGCCGGUAUUGGGAAAACUGGCUCAAAAUACGUAAUGUGGUCUAAGAUGGGCUUAACAGAGACUUAAAUGUGCAAGGCAAAACUAGAAAGCUAAUGGAGAAUAUCUGUCACUCGGAUGCGGGGCAGAGACUUUUUAAACACGACGCCAAAAGCCCAAACCAUAAGGUGAAAGGUUGGCGGAUCUGACUAAAUGGCAACUCGGAUUUCUGGUCCCCAGGACGCUGUAUAUACCAAAGGGAAGCAACGAGUCAAGCGGGAGCUGCACAAAAGGGGGCAGUCGCCAGUGCUGGAGACGCCCAGAGCCACCAGAGGCUAAAGAGUGGCGAAUUCAACAACGACGAGAUGCCACUUCCCUCA